rnacentral:rRNA from 1 species
GACGAACGCUGGCGGCGUGCCUAACACAUGCAAGUCGAGCGGGAACCUCAGGAGGGGUAACCCACCUGAGGGGAGAGCGGCGAACGGGUGAGUAUCACGUGGGCAACCUGCCCCGGACACCGGGAUAACCCAGGGAAACCUGAGCUAAUACCGGAUACUCCGGAGCGACCACAUGGUCGCUCCGGGAAAGCCUUGACGGUCCGGGAUGGGCCCGCGGCCUAUCAGCUUGUUGGUGGGGUAAUGGCCCACCAAGGCGACGACGGGUAGCUGGUCUGAGAGGAUGAUCAGCCACACUGGGACUUAGACACGGCCCAGACUCCUACGGGAGGCAGCAGUGGGGAAUAUUGGACAAUGGGGGGCAACCCUGAUCCAGCAAUGCCGCGUGAGUGAUGAAGGCCUUAGGGUUGUAAAGCCCUUUACCGGGGACGAUGAUGACGGUACCCGGAGAAUAAGCCCCGGCUAACUUCGUGCCAGCCGCCGCUGU